AAAAAUAUAUAUAUUUUUAGGGCAAAUUAUUUCAGCCUCCCAAUCGCGUCCAUCUCUAUUAUCGCUCUCCCAAUCGCGUCCAUCUCUAUUAUCGCUCUCACCUCUGAAAUUGCCCCCUCUAUCUCUCCUCUGUGCAACUACAAACUACAAAAUCAACAAAAAUCAAAAUCCAUAUAUUUCAGUUUAUUUAUGUGUUACCUAUGUCAAACCCAUAUCAGCAUAUCAAAACCCAUAUACUUUUUCUUCUCCGAGAUAUGGAACUGGAAGGUUCUUUAAUGGCAGAUUUGAAGAACACCACCAACUCCAUUUCUUAGAAGCCUGUUGUCUCUGUAAGAAAUCUCUUGGUGAUAAUAAAGACAUCUUCAUGUACAGAGGCGGAUCGACAGCGGCUUAGGGCGAGCAACGUCGGCGGCGACGAUAGCAGAGAGAGAGAGAAAGAAGAGAGAGGAGAGAGAAAGGAAAAAAAAAAAAAAUUAAUUUUCGGUUUCGGGUUAGGUUCGGGUUGAGUCUGAGCUCAACCCGAAUAUGUCUGGGUUUUGAUAAAACCCAAACCGAACAUGAACCCGAUUUGUGAAUUGUAUGUCCAAAUUUCAAAAUUUAUGGGUUGGGCUUGGGCUAGGCCGGGUUAGCCCGCCCAAGUUGCGGCCAUAGUUUAAAUUAUAAGAUUUUUGGUUCUUUAGUGGAUGUUAGUGGGCUAUACUUUUUAUUAUUUAUUUAUUUAAAUAUUUUUGAGAAGUAUGCAAUGUUUCUUGUA